rnacentral:misc_RNA from 1 species
GGUGGAAUGGGAAUGCCUCCAAUGCCACCUUUUGGCAUGCCGCCAAUGGGUAGCUAUUGAUAUGCUGGUGGCCUUUUUUGUAGAAUUUAGCUUUGAAUCAAAGUUGCUUAUGAAGGACAUGCAAGGUCGGGCUUUACCCUUUGGUGGUCUUUCGGUGCCUUCAUUACUUUUUGUGUUUGUUUUGAUGGGAUGAAUGAAGGUCUAUUUGAAA